UGGGGAAUUUUGGACAAUGGGCGAAAGCCUGAUCCAGCAAUGCCGCGUGUGUGAAGAAGGCCUUCGGGUUGUAAGCACUUUUGUCCGGAAAGAAAUCCUUGGCUCUAAUACAGUCGGGGGAUGACGGUACCGGAAGAAUAAGCACCGGCUAACUACGUGCCAGCAGCCGCGGUAAUACGUAGGGUGCAAGCGUUAAUCGGAAUUACUGGGCGUAAAGCGUGCGCAGGCGGUUUGCUAAGACCGAUGUGAAAUCCCCGGGCUCAACCUGGGAACUGCAUUGGUGACUGGCAGGCUAGAGUAUGGCAGAGGGGGGUAGAAUUCCACGUGUAGCAGUGAAAUGCGUAGAGAUGUGGAGGAAUACCGAUGGCGAAGGCAGCCCCCUGGGCCAAUACUGACGCUCAUGCACGAAAGCGUGGGGAGCAAACAGGAUUAGAUACCCUGGUAGUCCACGCCCUAAAACGAUGUCAACUAGUUGUUGGGGAUUCAUUUCCUUAGUAACGUAGCUAACGCGUGAAGUUGACCGCCUGGGGAGUACGGUCGCAAGAUUAAAACUUCAAAUGAAUUGACGGGGUCAUAGCUGUUUCCU
rnacentral:rRNA from 1 species